GAAGGUAUUGGAACAUGAGGAUGGCAUGGCUUUAUGAAGUCCAUCUCUGUAUCCUUCUUUAGAUUUGCAUGUGAGAACCUUGGAGGACUUUGGGGAAGAUCCGGUUGUACAAGGACUCAGAGAAGCAGGUCUUGCAGUCACAUCCCACUGAAGUUCUAUGUAACUCCCAAAUAUCAGGAAAGAGAUGGAGUUUAGAAAACAAGGGAGCAACCUUGGAAGUAUAUGGCACAGUCAGGGGGCUCUGUAGCAGGAUGCCAAGAAUCUCAUAUAAAGAAUACCAUGACAGAUAUCAUCUUAUGUCAUGAACCCAGAGAUGCUUUGGAAGCCAGCAAGCUGCAGCAAUCCUCCUGUCUCCACCUCUCAUGAUGUUGGGGCUACAGGAUAAUCAUGUCAUUCUUGGAAAAGAAAAUUGACCACAAACAAAAUAAGCCACUGGAAGAGGGUGAACCGCACUGCACCUGAUUUCUAUGAGCCCGUCAACCAGUGGUGAAUAUUAAACUUGAUAUUGCAAGA